AGAAUCAACGCUGGCGGCGUGCCUAACACAUGCAAGUCGAACGAGAAAGUGGAGCAAUCCAUGAGUAAAGUGGCGACCGGGUGAGUAACACGUGACUAACCUACCUUCGAGUGGUGGAUAACCUCGGGAAACCGAGGCUAAUACCGCAUAACAUCGCAAGAUCAAAGCAGCAAUGCGCUGGAAGAGGGGGUCGCGGCUGAUUAGCUAGUUGGCGGGUAAUGGCCCACCAAGGCGAAGAUCGGUAGCCGGCCUGAGAGGGCGCACGGCCACACUGGAACUGAAACACGGUCCAGACUCCUACGGGAGGCAGCAGUGGGGAAUUUUGCGCAAUGGGGGAAACCCUGACGCAGCAACGCCGCGUGGAGGAUGAAGCCCCUUGGGGCGUAAACUCCUUUCGACCAAGACGAUAAUGACGGUACUGGUGGAAGAAGCACCGGCUAACUCUGCGCCAGCAGCCGC
rnacentral:rRNA from 1 species